CUGAGGUAUGACUGUAUUACAGCAUUUCAUAAGUCAAAUUGUGAAGUUUGACUUACGAAAUGCUGUAAUACAAUUGCA